UACAGAGGGGGGCAAGCGUUGUUCGGAAUUACUGGGCGUAAAGGGCGCGUAGGCGGCCCGCUAAGUCGAACGUGAAAUCCCCGAGCUCAACUCGGGAACUGCGUCCGAUACUGGUGGGCUUGAAUCCGGGAGAGGGAUGCGGAAUUCCAGGUGUAGCGGUGAAAUGCGUAGAGAUGUGGAGGAACACCAGUGGCGAAGGCGACUCUCUGGUCUGUAACUGACGCUGAGGUGCGAAAGCGUGGGUAGCAAACAGG
rnacentral:rRNA from 1 species